rnacentral:rRNA from 1 species
GAUGAACGCUGGCGGCGUGCCUAAUACAUGCAAGUCGAGCGAACGGACGAGAAGCUUGCUUCUCUGAUGUUAGCGGCGGACGGGUGAGUAACACGUGGAUAACCUACCUAUAAGACUGGGAUAACUUCGGGAAACCGGAGCUAAUACCGGAUAAUAUUUUGAACCGCAUGGUUCAAAAGUGAAAGACGGUCUUGCUGUCACUUAUAGAUGGAUCCGCGCUGCAUUAGCUAGUUGGUAAGGUAACGGCUUACCAAGACAACGAUGCAUAGCCGACCUGAGAGGGUGAUCGGCCACACUGGAACUGAGACACGGUCCAGACUCCUACGGGAGGCAGCAGUAGGGAAUCUUCCGCAAUGGGCGAAAGCCUGACGGAGCAACGCCGCGUGAGUGAUGAAGGUCUUCGGAUCGUAAAACUCUGUUAUUAGUGAAGAACAUAUGUGUAAGUAACUGUGCACAUCUUGACGGUACCUAAUCAGAAAGCCACGGCUAACUACGUG